rnacentral:rRNA from 1 species
GACAGAGGGUGCAAACGUUGUUCGGAAUUACUGGGCGUAAAGCGCGUGUAGGCGGCUAAGUAAGUCGAACGUGAAAUCCCCGGGCUCAACCCGGGAACUGCGUCCGAUACUGGAAGGCUUGAAUCCGGGAGAGGGAUGCGGAAUUCCAGGUGUAGCGGUGAAAUGCGUAGAUAUCUGGAGGAACACCGGUGGCGAAGGCGGCAUCCUGGACCGGCAUUGACGCUGAGGCGCGAAAGCCAGGGGAGCAAAGCGGG